CCCGGGGGUUUUGUUCUUGGGUAGUCUUUUGAUUACCGUUUCAAUUUCUUUGCUCGUAAUUGGUUUGUUUAACUUUUGUGUUUCUUUCUUGGUCAGUCUUGGAAAGUUGUAUUUUUCUAGGAAAUUGUCCAUUUCCUCUAGGUUUUCCAGCUUGUUAGCAUAUAGGUUUUCAUAGUAGUCUCUAAUAAUUCUUUGUAUUUCUGUGGAGUCUGUCGUGAUUUUUCCAUUCUCAUUUCUGAUUCUGUUGAUGUGUGUUGAUUCUCUUUUUCUCUUAAUAAUAAGUUUGGUUAGAGGCUUUUUUAUUUUGUUUAUUUUCUCAA